AUACUUACCUGGCAGGGGAGAUACCAUGAUCAUGAAGGUGGUUUUCCCAGAGCCAGGCUUAUCCAUUGUAUUCCAGAUAUGCUGACCCCUGUGAUUUCUCCAAAUGUGGAAAACUCAACUAUAUAACUUGUGGUAGUGGAGGAUUGUGUUUGCGUACUCCCCUG
rfam:Myotis davidii contig56950, whole genome shotgun sequence.